CCUACGGGGGGCUGCAGUGGGGAAUAUUGGACAAUGGGGGCAACCCUGAUCCAGCCAUGCCGCGUGUGUGAAGAAGGCCCUCGGGUUGUAAAGCACUUUCAGUGAGGAAGAACGCCUGGUGGUUAAUACCCAUCAGGAAAGACAUCACUCACAGAAGAAGCACCGGCUAACUCCGUGCCAGCAGCCGCGGUAAUACGGAGGGUGCGAGCGUUAAUCGGAAUUACUGGGCGUAAAGCGCGCGUAGGUGGCUUGAAAAGCCGGUUGUGAAAGCCCCGGGCUCAACCUGGGAACGGCAUCCGGAACUGUCAAGCUAGAGUGCAGGAGAGGAAGGUAGAAUUCCCGGUGUAGCGGUGAAAUGCGUAGAGAUCGGGAGGAAUACCAGUGGCGAAGGCGGCCUUCUGGACUGACACUGACACUGAGGUGCGAAAGCGUGGGUAGCAAACAGGAUUAGAUACCCUAGUAGUC
rnacentral:rRNA from 1 species